UAUACAGCGAAACUGCGAAUGGCUCAUUAUAUAAGUUAUCGUUUAUUUGGUAGUGCCUUACUACUUGGAUAACCGUGGUAAUUCUAGAGCUAAUACAUGCUAAAAACCCCGACUUCGGAAGGGGUGUAUUUAUUAGAUACAAAACCAAUGCCCUUCGGGGCUCUUUGGUGAUUCAUGAUAACUAUACGAAUCGCACGGCCUUGCGCCGGCGAUGGUUCAUUCAAAUUUCUUCCCUAUCAACUUUCGAUGUUUGGGUAUUGGCCAAACAUGGUUGCAACGGGUAACGGAGGGUUAGGGCUCGACCCCGGAGAAGGAGCCUGAGAAACGGCUACUACAUCCAAGGAAGGCAGCAGGCGCGCAAAUUACCCAAUCCCGACUCGGGGAGGUAGUGACAAUAAAUACUGAUACAGGGCCCUUUCGGGCCUUGUAAUUGGAAUGAGUACAAUUUAAAUCCCUUAACGAGGAACAAUUGGAGGGCAAGUCUGGUGCCAGCAGCCGCGGUAAUUCCAGCUCCAAUAGCGUAUAU
rnacentral:rRNA from 1 species